rnacentral:rRNA from 1 species
CCUACGGGAGGCAGCAGUGAGGAAUAUUGGUCAAUGGACGAGAGUCUGAACCAGCCAAGUAGCGUGAAGGAUGACUGCCCUAUGGGUUGUAAACUUCUUUUAUAUGGGAAUAAAAUGUUCCACGUGUGGGAUUUUGUAUGUACCAUAUGAAUAAGGAUCGGCUAACUCCGUGCCAGCAGCCGCGGUAAUACGGAGGAUCCGAGCGUUAUCCGGAUUUAUUGGGUUUAAAGGGAGCGUAGGUGGAUUGUUAAGUCAGUUGUGAAAGUUUGCGGCUCAACCGUAAAAUUGCAGUUGAAACUGGCAGUCGUGAGUACAGUAGAGGUGGGCGGAAUUCGUGGUGUAGCGGUGAAAUGCUUAGAUAUCACGAAGAACCCCGAUUGCGAAGGCAGCCUGCCGCAGCGUUACUGACGCUGAAGCUCGAAAGCGCGGGUAUCGAACAGGAUUAGAUACCCCGGUAGUC